GUCCUUUUGCCCUAAUCCACAUAGCACCCCGUCCGCAUCGCGAACACUCUGUUCCGCCCUGUGCCCCUCUUCUCAAACGGUCCCAAACCCUAGGCGCGACCUGAGCCCAUGUCGGGGUCUUACGGAUCCGACGACUACCGCGGCGGCGGCGGUGGCGGCGGCGGAUACGGCGGCCGAGGUGGCGGUGGAGGCGGCCGCGGGCGCGGAGGCGGUGGAGGAGGGUAUGGAGGUGGGGGUGGGGGAGGUUAUGGAGGUGGUGGUGGAGGUGGAUAUGGAAGUGGUGGUGGAGGAUUCGGCGUCGGGGGCGGUAGAGGCGGAGGCGGCGGCUUCGGUGGCGGAGGGCGAGGUGGAGGUGGCCGAGGCGGUGGCGGCCGCGGGGGAGGACGCGAGGGAGGACGCGAGGGCGACUGGGUUUGCCCUGAUGCGAGCUGUGGCAAUGUGAACUUUGCAAGAAGGACUGAGUGCAACAAGUGUGGAACACCUUGCCCAAGUGGAGCUGGAGGUGGAGGUGGUGGCGGCGGUUACAAUAGAUCUGGUGGAGGUGGUGGGGGCUACAACCGUGGUGGUGGUGAUUACGGGUCUGGAGGAGGAGGUGGCUUUGACAGAGAUGGUGCUGGUGGUGGGGGAAGAGGAGGAUACAACCGAAGUGGUGGUAAUGACCGUGGUUUUGAUGAUCACCGUGGUGGUAGAGGUGGCAGUUAUGGGGGACGAGACCAGGAAAACCAAAGGGGCAGUGAAGGUGGCUACAAUGCUGGUGGUUAUGGACAAGCUCCUCCGCAAGGGCCUCCUUCCUUCGGUGGACCCGCCGGUGACUACGCAGCGCCUCCGAGCUCCUAUGGAGGCAACAAUGCUUAUGGUUCAGACUCUGCAGUGCCACCUCCUAAUAGCUAUAGCGGUGGCCCAGCCUCAUACCCACCAAGCUAUGGUGCCCCUCCUCCAAACCAAUAUGGUGGUGGUGCCCCAGGGGGGCAAGGGGGUCUGCCUCCUACAUAUGAUGGUGGCUAUGGUGGUCGAUCCAUGCCAGGGGGUGGGGGUUCUGGUGGUGCACCUCCACCUUAUCAUGGUGGCGGUGGCGGUGGAGGCGGUGGUUAUACUGGUGGUGCUGCUUCUGAGCCAGCGGCAAAGGUUAAGCAGUGUGAUGCAAACUGUGAUGAGACAUGUGACAAUGCAAGAAUUUACAUCUCAAAUUUGCCCCCUGAUGUCACUGUUGAAGAAUUACAGGAGCUAUUUGGAGGAAUCGGCCAGGUUGGAAGGAUCAAGCAAAAACGUGGCUAUAAAGAUCAGUGGCCCUGGAACAUAAAAAUCUAUACUGAUGACUCCGGAAAAGCCAAAGGAGAUGCUUGCCUUGCUUAUGAAGAUCCUUCUGCUGCUCAUUCAGCUGGUGGAUUCUACAACAAUUAUGACAUGAGAGGCUAUAAAAUCAGCGUUGUGAUGGCUGAGAAAUCAGCACCCAGAGCACCCUCUUAUGGUCAUGGUGGUGGCCGUGGUGGUGGCUAUGGUGGCGGUCGCAGGGACAAUUACAGAGAUGGUGGUGGGCAUGGACCCAAUAGAAACCAGGGUGGUGGUUCGCGUUCACGACCUUACUGAAAACAGCCAAUGUUAUUACUAUGAUUGUCUUCUGUGAAACCAUUUCUAUUCCUGUCCUAAGGACUUGUACUCUCAUACAGGCGCAUAAGAGGCAGAUGGAUGUAAGCUCCAAAUGCUGGUAGGUUUGAGAUGUUAUUUCAGCCGGUGGAUCACUCCUGUAAGCUUUGGAUUUUGCUGCGAAGAACAGGCAGGGCAUUUUUGUUAUGUGAUGGGUUUGUCAGGUUCCGUAUAUAUUAAACCUAUCGAGUAGCGUACAUAGACUGCACCAAAUCCGUUGCAGUUCACAUUGACGUGGGAUUGAACUAGAAUGUAGCAUAUACUUAGUUUAGGUUCCUGCUAACUUCUGAUUUCAUAUAGAUAGUAGGACAUAUAUCCCUCUUGGUAAAAAUUUCGGUCGAAAAUAACAUUCUCUUUUGGGUGUUGAUUACUUGAUUCUGCCCUAGUAAAGAAAAUCUCAGUGUACACGAAACUGCUGGAUCUGUUGUGAGGCUGCAUCUUCGUUGUGCGGCACCAUAUCUCCGCAGCACAAUUUGGCAUAAAUCAUACUGCGGCGUUAUCCGCUCUUUUUA